CCGCAUCAGUAUAUCUCCUGGGAAGGCUAUUAACAUGAUGAUGUCAGGGUCAAUAGGUGUUGCUAGGCGAAGAAGACCCCCACACACUGCACCCAGGAUGACACCUGGAGGAAGAACAAACAAAGAAGCAGCAUCAGGUACACCUUUGAAAGGUGAUUCAAGGCAAAUGCUUCAGCAUCAUGGGGUUUUGCAAGCUGAAAAUAUGGGGAUGAAAUUUGCAGCUCAAGAACAGUUGCAGCUGUUUUUUCAAACAAUAACAAGAGUAUGUCUACAAAUUUGCUGCAUAUGGCUGUUGGACUUUCAGUGAAAAAGAAACCGGCAAAGAGCCAAUGAACCACAAUAAAAUGUCAAACUGUUCCAUAUAUGGAAGCUGCUAAAGCCAGAGGCAAUAUUCAGGAUGAGAUCAUGGAGUGCUGGCUUACAGCUACAGAAAGGGAAGACAAACCUUAAAACCAGUGAAGUGUCAAUGGAGAGAUAAAAAAGAAAAUUUUGAAGAGUUUUUGUCUUUUGUUUUUCUUUCUCCAAAUCGCUGAUAGAAAAAAAGUUUAGCACAUUCACUUCUGCUGGAUGACACCGACCUGACUGGCCUUGGGGUUUAAAUCCAUACUCCUUUCCAAACCAGAUACCUCAGUGGUGUGGAUUUAUUUGCUGUGUUGUGUCAGGAAUACCUUGCUCACCAGAACCACACAAGCAGUGUCCAUAGGCAUCCUAUUUACUGUCUGGCUGUUCAGCUGGAACAGCUGAAGGCCACAGACAGGAGCUGUGGUGCCACAGGAACAAAUGCAGGUACACACAGAGUGUCCAGAGCAGCAGAUGUAGCUUACCAAACACAGUAAGAGUCAGGAGCAGAUUCCUGUGGAGGGACUGGCAGAACUGCACACAUAUGUUCCUGGAUCUGUGCUCCACUGGAUUUAAAUGACUUUCAUGCAUCCGGACUUCUACUUGCUUAGGCAUAUUGUUGGCACUGGAAUAAAAAGUGAAAAUCAAGUAGAAGUUAUAGCAUAAGAUGCCAAAAGGGAAAGUCUGGAUUACUUCCAUCAUAUAUAACUGGGGAAUCUGACGCAUAUUCCACCACCUCCCACAUUUCAUAAACACUGCAUAUUUACUGCUCUGAAGAAGUCUCUGAAAUGGCAGUGUUGUGUCCUUCUAAAGGUGUACCUUCACAGUAUUUUUUGUAGUUAUUUCUCAAAUGGUAGAGAUACAAUGAGAAUUAAUUCACUGGACAUAUCAUCCCAAAUAUUUCAAGAAAUAAACUAUGGAGCUAGAAAAUUGAG